rnacentral:RNase_P_RNA from 2 species
CGAAGCAGAACAGAUGACCGCCGCCUUUUAGAGGGGGAGGAAAGUCCGGGCUCCAUAGGGCGUGGUGCUGGAUAACGUCCAGCGGGGGUGACCCCAGGGAAAGUGCCACAGAGAGAAGUCCGCCCGUUUCGGCGGGUAAGGGUGAAAGGGUGAGGUAAGAGCUCACCGGAUUCGGCGGUGACGCCGGAUGCCAGGUAAACCCCACCAGGAGCAAGGCCAAAUAGGGAAGCGCAGAGGGUGGCCCGCCCGAGCUUCCGGGUUGGCUGCUUGAGGUCGUCGGCAACAACGAUCCUAGAUGAAUGGUCAUCGCUGUCUUGCGGGUAACCGCAGGGCGGAACAAAACCCGGCUUACGGCCUGCUUCGGCCA